rnacentral:rRNA from 1 species
GAGCAAACAGGAUUAGAUACCCUGGUAGUCCACGCUGUAAACGAUGUCGAUUUGAAGGUUGUUCCCUUGAGGAGUGGCUUUCGGAGCUAACGCGUUAAAUCGACCGCCUGGGGAGUACGGCCGCAAGGUUAAAACUCAAAUGAAUUGACGGGGGCCCGCACAAGCGGUGGAGCAUGUGGUUUAAUUCGAUGCAACGCGAAGAACCUUACCUACUCUUGACAUCCAGAGAACUUAGCAGAGAUGCUUUGGUGCCUUCGGGAACUCUGAGACAGGUGCUGCAUGGCUGUCGUCAGCUCGUGUUGUGAAAUGUUGGGUUAAGUCCCGCAACGAGCGCAACCCUUAUCCUUUGUUGCCAGCGAUUCGGUCGGGAACUCAAAGGAGACUGCCGGUGAUAAACCGGAGGAAGGUGGGGAUGACGUCAAGUCAUCAUGGCCCUUACGAGUAGGGCUACACACGUGCUACAAUGGCGUAUACAAAGAGAAGCGACCUCGCGAGAGCAAGCGGAACUCAUAAAGUACGUCGUAGUCCGGAUUGGAGUCUGCAACUCGACUCCAUGAAGUCGGAAUCGCUAGUAAUCGUAGAUCAGAAUGCUACGGUGAAUACGUUCCCGGGCCUUGUACACACCGCCCGUCACACCAUGGGAGUGGGUUGCAAAAGAAGUAGGUAGCUUAACCUUCGGGAGGGCGCUUACCACUUUGUGGUUCAUGACUGGGGUGAAGUCGUA